UCAUUUCUACAAAUCUUAUUUUAUUGACAAAAUCACACUACUUCACUCAAGCAGCCGCCUCCUUCUUCCUCCUUUGCAAGUGGAGAUGAAGGAAAAGAAGAAAAAGCUGGAGACCAACGGGUAUAAGCAUGUAAUCAUAUGCUCCCUUCAUUUAUUGGUAUGGGAGGAGUUGGCAAGAAAAAAUUACUUCGUAAGUUAUAAUUUCAGCUUUUUUGAGCUUUGGUUUUUUAUUCUUGAUGUGGGAUGUCUUAGUUAUUAAGAUCUCUAGCUCUUAAUUUCUUAAUGAUUUUAUUGUGUUGAGAUUUUUAUUUCUUUGAUUGAUCGAGCACUGUUAAACAGUCCAUAAGAGCUAAAACUACAGCUGCUAAAACUACUGUUGUGGCGGAUGUUACAACAGUUUUGCCACAAAUGUGGACCCAUGACUGCCCGGCUACCCGCAAAAAAGAGAAGGGAGGCUGGCAAGAACGGUGGGGAACUUGCUUAAUGGGCUGCAUCUAUGUUCAAAGGGAAGAUUGGUACCAUUUCAAGCUGCAAAAUUACAAUUAGAUCUGAAAAUCGCAGUCUAAGCAUGGAGAGCAAAGUGAAUCAACUAGAAAGCCAAUAUUAAUUAUUUUGUUCCAUAAGACAAAUAUAUUGUCAGUAUGAACCCAUAGAGAAAUUAAGUAGAAUGAUCACAACAAAAAUAACUACUAGUUUUACGGGCCACUGAGUUCAUAACAAUGCCCUUGUGGCAUGGUUUAUAUAUGAAAACCUGAAGUGCACCUAAACUUUUCAAAAAAUAUAAAAGAAAACCUAUACCUUGCAUUCAAAAUAUUUUGUUAACUUUAAAAUCUUUAAUUUCUUUAAUUCCUCUGAGGUUUCUUUUGGUUUAGACUAGUCCAGAGGUCUCUUGUUAAGUCAAGAACCACCGGCAAUGAGUAUUGUAUGACUUUAAAAUCUUUAAUUUCUUUAAUUCCUCUGAGGUUUCUUUGCAGCUGAAUUCACUGUUCCUAUCCGAGUAAAACCUACGAUCGACGUGGAAUGAUCCACCACGGCAAGAAAGUCCAUAAGAACUUAAAACACAGCUGUGGCGAAUGCCACAACCGUUUUGCAACACACGCAGAGCUGACUUCCCAUGACUGCCCGGGUUCAAGGGGAAGGGAUGGGAACGGUAACUAAUGCUAAUUCCUGCAUGUGAAAAUUUGAAUGCUACACAAUUUUAUGGGUUGUUUAGGAAUUCUUAAAAUAGUAUUUCUGUUUUCAUUUCA